GGCUAUAUCUAUCUCCAAUCUUAGAAGAAUAUUCAAACAAGUCGUAAACAACCAAUAUGGGAAACAAUGAAGUGUCCUUUGCAAGUUGGAGUAGUUGAAUGUGGGUACUAUGUAAUGAGAUACAUGAGAGAUAAUAACAAAUGGGAGCAUAGUACUCACAGGACUCAUACAGUCAACUCGAGUUGGAUGAAGUACGAAAGGAGAUUGCUGAAUGUUUGGGUGGCCACGUGUGAUUAAUUAUGGUGGUAGCUAAGUUCUUUUGUGUUAGAUAGACAACUUUUGUUGAUACUGGAUAUAGGGGAACUAGUUUUGUUGUUAUUAUGUUGAUACUGAAUAUAGGUAAACUAGUUUUGUUAAUAGUGGAUAUAGGUGAACUAGUUUUGAUAUGGUACACCUUUAGGCUACAAAUAUAUUUUGG